UGAAAAAUAGGGAGCAUUCUCAACCAUUGAUCAAGGCUAGAUGAUGAUCCAAAGGCCCUUAUUGGUGGUGCCAUAAGAAAGAAGGAGAGAGAGAAUGAUGCGGUUGAAGGGAAAGUAGUUAGGAUAUGAUGACGUGUCAUCUUUAUCCAAUUCAAGUGGCACUUCUUCAUGAGGCGCCAUUCUAAAUUCACCGUAUUUCCUUCUUUCUCACGCCAUCUGAUGUUGACUAAGUCAAUAUCACAAGUCCAUCACGAGAUCAUGAUCUCCCAUCAUCCCAUGAUGAAGAUCCAAUGGCUCUAAUCCAUGGCGCCAUCCAUUUGAUCCUUCUCUUCAUCCAAAUGUUGAUCCAACGGUCAAAAUUAAAUAUUUUAUCAAAUCUAAUCCAAUUAGACUCAAAUCAAGCCAAUUUAGGUGCCAACUCUUGGCUAACCCAUAUUAGAAUAUGAUCUAAUCAAAUUAGAUCAAUUUAGAAUCAGAUUCGAAUCCAAUUCGAAUCAGAUUCGAAUCCAGUUCGAAUCAGGAGCUAAGGUUUGCAACACCUGUUAGGAUGUUUAUCUUGCAAACAUGAUCUAAUUCAAUUAGACCCUUGAU
rnacentral:lncRNA from 1 species